rnacentral:rRNA from 1 species
UGAGGAACAUGACUUUCGGCGGGGGAUAGCCGGCCCAACGGCCGGGUAAUACCGCGUACGACCUCUCGGGGACAUCCCCGGUUGGUGAAAGCAGCAAUGCACCGAAAGAGUGCCUCGCGGCCUAUCAGCUAGUUGGUGGGGUAACGGCUCACCAAGGCGACGACGGGUAGCUGGUCUGAGAGGGUGGCCAGCCACAUUGGGACUGAGACACGGCCCAGACUCCGUACGGGAGGCAGC